AGAGGUUAUAAUCUCAACCUUACAACUUGGAGCACUCUUUAGCUCAACUCUGAUCUCUUCUCACAUAUGUAAUGUGAGCUGGGCUGGGUCAGGCACUCACUCCCCGGGACAAGCCUUCCUGCAUGCCCACCUUUUCUGUCAAGGUUGGAAAAGUAGACAAGUGUGCCAGAGCAUCUUCAGGUGUCCCCUGCUGCCUCCUUCAUGCUUACCAUGCCCAGGGACUGAGGGCUGUGUGUGUUGCUGAUCUUUUGAGACAUCCUGUUGGGAAAGAGGCCCCUACAAAGAGACUAAGUGUGAACAAGCAGCCUCAGACAUUCACUGCCAUGAACAGGAGCUGUUCCUGCUACUGUAAACAACUGCCAUGCCUUCCCCAGCUUGAAGCUGUGAGCCCCAGGACACCUUCCCCCCUUAAAUCACUUCAACUGGAGAAAAAAGUACCUAAGACAUGCUCUCACCAUGGAACGCUGUCCCUCCCUGUGUGACU
rnacentral:lncRNA from 1 species